rnacentral:rRNA from 1 species
UACGGGGGGGGCAAGCGUUGUUCGGAAUUACUGGGCGUAAAGGGCUCGUAGGUGGCCAACUAAGUCAGACGUGAAAUCCCUCGGCUUAACCGGGGAACUACGUCUGAUACUGGAUGGCUUGAGUUCGGGAGAGGGAUGCGGAAUUCCAGGUGUAGCGGUGAAAUGCGUAGAUAUCUGGAGGAACACCGGUGGCGAAGGCGGCAUCCUGGACCGACACUGACGCUGAGGAGCGAAAGCCAGGGGAGCAAACGGG